AUGAAAGUAAAAAUCUCACCUCACGGGACACUGGUUUUAGCCUCAUAUAUCUUUCUCUCUCUUUCAACCAAGUUGUUUAAUAAAUAAUAAUACUGCAAUGCAAUCUCUCUCUGGAUUUGUAUUUUUCUCUCUCUGAACCAGAAUGGCGAAAGAGCUUCUUCUGCAACUUCGUCUAUUGCUUCUUCUUCCGGAACAACGGUGUCGUUUUGUGCCUCCCAUGCCAAUGUACAACUUCGCAUUCUGACUCCUCUUGCUUCUACAUUUUCGAUCCCUUCGAUCCGUUUAGCUUCACCUUGCUUCUCGCAACCACCGACUCACUCAACUCAGGGGUGGGAAUUCUCUUAAUUGAUGACAUGGAGCAGUAUGAAAUACUUGAGCAAAUUGGAAAAGGUGCUUUUGGUUCUGCUCUUCUUGUGAGACAUAAGCAUGAAAAGAAAAAAUAUGUGUUGAAGAAGAUUCGCCUUGCACGUCAAACCGAGCGCUCUCGCAGAUCUGCACAUCUGGAGAUGGAGCUCAUCUCUAAAUUAAGAAACCAAUUCAUUGUGGAGUACAAAGAUUCGUGGGUAGAAAAGGGUUGCUAUGUCUGCAUCAUUAUAGGUUAUUGUGAGGGAGGAGAUAUGGCGGAAGCUAUAAAGAAAGCUAAUGGUGUCCUGUUUCCUGAGGAGAAACUCUGUAAGUGGCUCGUUCAACUUCUUAUGGCUCUUGAGUACUUGCACAUGAACCACAUUCUUCACCGUGAUGUCAAGUGUUCAAAUAUCUUUUUGACAAAAGAUCAUGACAUACGCCUCGGUGAUUUUGGACUUGCCAAAAUGUUGACGUCUGAUGAUCUCGCUUCCUCUGUUGUGGGAACUCCUAGCUACAUGUGCCCUGAGCUCCUUGCUGAUAUACCUUAUGGUUCUAAAUCAGAUAUUUGGUCCUUGGGAUGCUGUAUAUAUGAAAUGACAUCGCAUAAGCCUGCAUUCAAAGCAUUUGAUAUACAGGCAUUGAUUAACAAGAUUAAUAAAUCAAUAGUGGCUCCACUGCCUACAAAAUAUUCUAGUUCGUUUCGAGGUCUUGUUAAAAGUAUGCUGCGCAAGAAUCCAGAGCUUAGGCCAAGUGCUACAGAGCUGCUUGGACAUCCACAUCUUCAGUCUUACGUUCUUAAGGUCCAUCUCAAAAUCAAUAGCCCCAGGCGAAACACAUUGCCAGUUCAUUGGCCAGAAUCCAAUUACUUGAAGAAAACUAGAUUUUUGGUGCCAGAAGAUGACCCUGUUUCUCUGUUUAGGGAUAAGCGACAUUCUUUCAGUAAUGAUCGGACUCUGAACCCUAGUGUAUCUGGAGCUGAUCAAGAUUCUUUGUGCUCUACUCUUGAAAUAGAUUGUACUCCUGACCAUUUGAAUCAAAGAUUAGCAGAACUACGUGUUGGAGAUAGCCAUGAAUUGAAAUCAAUCCGGAAGCCUGCUGUUUCCAGAACUUCUAGCAUUGCUAAGACUCCAAGAUUCACUUCCUCAAAAGUCUCUGGCACCAACAAGAAAACAAUGAAAUUCUCAAAGAAUCAUAAAGAGAUGCCUCGUUCACACAGUACCACAAAAUCUGCUAAUACUAACCGUAGAGCAUCAUUUCCAUUGCCAACAAGAGGUGGUAUUCGACAGCCUCCUUCCGGGCCCAAUGCCACUAUGAUUAGUCACGUGUCUUCACCAGAUAUCUCAGUCAAUUCUCCACGUAUUGAUAAGAUGGCUGAAUUCCCAUUAACUUCAUAUGUGGAUUCUUUGUUCCCCAUCAAUAAAACAUCAUCCUUUGUUCAAUGUUCCUCUGGCCUCCCAUCCAGCGGCAACCAUUCCACUGUGAUAGACAAAUGCACAGUAGAUGUACAUGAUACAGCCUCAAACAGACCCGACUGUACUGAGUCUUGGCAGGGAAUCAAGCAGAGCGUGUUAAAGGAAAUUGAUGAGGAUAAAAGUGGUUACUCUGAUCAAAAUGCAACGGCAGGUGCUUCAAGCCACACAUCUUCUGACUUGCGCCGUAGACAAUUUGACCCGUCAUCAUUCCAACAAAGGGCUGAAGCUUUAGAAGGGUUGCUUGAAUUUAGUGCAAGAUUGCUACAGCAGGCAAGGUAUGAUGAACUUGGGGUUCUAUUGAAACCAUUUGGGCCUGGAAAGGUUUCCCCAAGGGAAACAGCUAUCUGGUUGAGUAAGAGCUUCAAAGAGAAUACUUUCAACCCAGAAGAAUCCAUGUAAACUGCUAUAAUGUUUACCGUAGUCAUUUUUAGAGUUCAGUGUUUCUUCUCACAUGAGAGAAUUUAGCCAGCUGAUUUUUUUAACUUAUCACAUUUUUUUUUUCAUUUACCCUUUUCUUUUUCAUUCCACUGAAUAAUAACUCAAAUUUUCGAUCUGAUCCAUGAAGCAGAUGAUAGAUAUUUCUUUGGCAGUAAAGUUAGCGAAGCAUCUGAGAUUGAGACCGGCAUACCUUGAAUUCAUACAUGCAAUGGCCAAAUUAUGGACUAGAGAUGUUACAUUGCCUCUAUCCAGUUCAGGUACUAGAAGACGGCCAGCACUUUCUUUGAUAUGAUGUUUUAUUAUUUUAGUUUACAAGCGUUGAACACCCAAAUUUUACAUUGAUUGCGGCUUUUUCCUUUCUUGUUUUGCUUGUCGUCCGGACAGACCUUAGUUGAAAUGACUGUUUUCAGACGAUAUUUGCUGCUUCUGCCAUUUUGGCUGAAUUUUAUAGUUUCGGCUUCUAACAUUUGGGUAUU